rnacentral:rRNA from 1 species
GACGAACGCUGGCGGCGUGCUUAACACAUGCAAGUCGAACGGGAUUUAGUAAACGGAAGCCUCGGUGGAAGAUUACUAAUGAGAGUGGCGAACGGGAGAGUAACGCGUGAGCAACCUGCCUAUGACAGGGGGAUAGCCUCGGGAAACCGGGAUUAAUACCGCAUAAAAUCGUAGAAACACAUGUUUCAACUGGCAAAGAUUUAUCGGUCAUAGAUGGGCUCGCGUCUGAUUAGCUAGAUGGUGAGAUAACAGCCCACCAAGGCGACGAUCAGUAGCCGGUCUGAGAGGAUGAGCCGCCACACUUGCACUGAGCCACAGUCCAAACUACUACGGGAGGCAGCAGUGCGGAAUAUAGCACAAUGGGGGAAACCCAGAUGGAGCGACGCCGCGUGAACGAAGAAGGUAUUCGUAUCGUAAAGUUCUGUCCUAUGGGAAGAUAAUGACAGUACCCUAGAAGAAAGCUCCGGCUAACUACGUG